UCUUAUUCUAUAUAUUUAAUUUUUUGCAGAAACCUAUUUUGCAUUCAUCACUCAACAGAAUUUUGAAAUAGAUCGUAAGGAGCAGUAAUAUGGGAGUUGCUGAAGAACUAAUCAGUUAUCCCUCAGAAAUGUACUCGAGCUUAAAGAUGCAAGGAACAAUGAAACAACUUUCCAAUGUAACUCCUUAUAUCUUUCUUGGGAGCAUGACCCACUGACUAAGAGAGUGUGAUGUCUUCCCUGGACACUUCCCCAGAUAUCUAUCCAGAUGUCAGCUCAAAGGAAGAUGAAACAGUUCCAGGCACUUCUGAAGGGGAGAUGGUUAAUGGUGCCAAGCAGCCAUCUGAGGGGGAUUUGGCUGAAGCACAGCUGCAACAGGACAGCCCUGAGGCUUCAGGUGGAAAAAACAUAUAGCUGCAGCCAGUCAGUGAUGAGGAAAAGGAACUGUCUUCUCCACUGAUCCAAGAACAAGUAGAGAAAAGGCAGGAGCAGAGAAAGUCAGCUAGAUUACUCAUGAGGAGAAAGCCUCACCUUUUUUGAUAGGCUGCACCAGAAGCUGGCUAUUUAGCACAGCAGACAGUUGGAAGUGGUUCUGGGAACAUGUUCAUUUCCUAGCUGUGUGUUUUCUGGUUGUUGUGAUUCUUGCCUUGCUUUGGAUUGACGCCUUGACUUGGAUCGUGCCUUGUGAACUCUGGACUUUUCUUGCCUCAUGAACUCUCUUGUGUUGUGGAUUUAAUUUAGCCUGCUGGGUUUAUUUUGAUGGGGAAACUGCUCGAUGGACUAGCAUUGGUCUGCUUGUGGCUGGACUUAAUUGGGACAAUUCUGGGUUUUUGAUGAAGAGAGUUGCUGGGAAAUAUUAAUAAACAGUUAUAUGUGUGUGAGAGAGGGAGGGACAGCAUAAGGAAUAACAAAGGAAAGCUCUCGAGUGAUUCUUCUCCACACAGUACUGUAACCUUGAAAUUGGAAUAUUUUGUUUAUCCUACACAAAUAGCCACCCAAUCCACAUAUCAAUAAAGUCAAAAGCUGGAAGAAUUGAUAAGCAAUUAAUUCUAAACGCCAGACUGAGGAGAAAAUGGUUUCUUGCAUAAUAUUAAUUCAUGACAAUCAAAAAGGGAGAAUUCCAACUUGGUUUCUUUAUUCUCCCUUCCUACAAAAUACAAAACAUUUACUCCUCCCAGUACUAUUACUUUAAAUAUCCAUCUUUAAUCUGUUUAUAUAUUUCUAUGCAAGAUGCAUAAAUGCAUGCGGAAAUAAACGUAGAAUUAAAUACAACUUGCACCUGUAUGUCAGGAAAGAUAACAAACGUUUUGUGGAUGCAAUCCAUUUUCUGGCACUUUGAAUGAAGACUUUAUUGCUACUCCGUCUGACAUUAAUAGGCAGGUUACAUUCACCCACAUCCUCAUAAUUACUUGUCGAGAAUACAAAACGUUUUGGGCUAAUCUUCACAAAACUUAAAUAAGCCAUUAAGCUUUCCUGUGGCAGCUAGGCAUUAGCUUCCCCUCAUUUAGGGUACAAAAUUAAAACUCAGUGUCCAGAUCACAGGUCUCUGAAUUCACUGGUCAAUCGUCACUCAUCUGUGACUUAAGACUGGAAUAUUGUACUUACAUAUAAGAUAAACAAAUUUUCCCAAUGUAGGAAACUCUCCUGAUUAAAACUGAACAUCCAUAUGAAGUCCCCGGGUGAGGUCAUCCAUCUAUUUGGGAUGAAUUGUCAGCAGCAGUCAGAAACUCUUAUUUUCUAUUGGUACCAGGGUUGGGUUCUACUUACCUUUACUACCGGAUCGCAAUGGGGCCAUGCGCGCUCUCUCGCUUUGCUCGGAGAAUAUUAAAUAUUGGGGAAUAUUAAAAGAGGCAGAAUAUUGUAUUUCCCUAAAGGAGAAAUGGAGAAACAUGCUCUUAAAGACAGAAAGCAGAGUCAGGCUUUCUUAAUAGCCCCCAGAAGAUAUUUUGUGCCCAUUAAGAAAGAUUGGGCCAGCCGCCAGCCUAUUCAGAAAAAAAAGACCUUCACCUCCAGCGAUGGGAUUAAAAUUUACAUUCUCCUCCAUCCAAAAUUCUAAGAACAGGGCAUGACCAUUUAGGACAUAAUAAGAUUAACCCACUACCAUUUAGCAGAAGACACAGAGCUCACUACAUUGCACAAUUUCCUAAGGGAAUUUCAGACACUGCAUAACCCACCCACCCCAGUAGCAUUUCAGAACUUGUAUAAAAAGCACUCAUCUAACUAAUUUGUCAGAUGUCCCAGAACCACACACUGUUGGUGGGCCUGCUUCAUCAAUAAACCACCUUCUUUGUUUCCAA